rnacentral:rRNA from 1 species
CGGGAGGCAGCAGUGGGGAAUAUUGCACAAUGGGCGCAAGCCUGAUGCAGCGACGCCGCGUGAGGGAUGACGGCCUUCGGGUUGUAAACCUCUUUCAGUAGGGAAGAAGCCGCAAGGUGACGGUACCUGCAGAAGAAGCGCCGGCUAACUACGUGCCAGCAGCCGCGGUAAUACGUAGGGCGCAAGCGUUAUCCGGAAUUAUUGGGCGUAAAGAGCUCGUAGGCGGUUUGUCGCGUCUGCCGUGAAAGUCCGGGGCUCAACUCCGGAUCUGCGGUGGGUACGGGCAGACUAGAGUGAUGUAGGGGAGACUGGAAUUCCUGGUGUAGCGGUGAAAUGCGCAGAUAUCAGGAGGAACACCGAUGGCGAAGGCAGGUCUCUGGGCAUUAACUGACGCUGAGGAGCGAAAGCAUGGGGAGCGAACAGGAUUAGAUACCCUGGUAGUCCAUGCCGUAAACGUUGGGCACUAGGUGUGGGGGACAUUCCACGUUUUCCGCGCCGUAGCUAACGCAUUAAGUGCCCCGCCUGGGGAGUACGGCCGCAAGGCUAAAACUCAAAGGAAUUGACGGGGGCCCGCACAAGCGGCGGAGCAUGCGGAUUAAUUCGAUGCAACGCGAAGAACCUUACCAAGGCUUGACAUGAACCAGACCGGGCCGGAAACAGUCCUUCCCCUUUGGGGUUGGUUUACAGGUGGUGCAUGGUUGUCGUCAGCUCGUGUCGUGAGAUGUUGGGUUAAGUCCCGCAACGAGCGCAACCCUCGUUCCAUGUUGCCAGCGGGUAGUGCCGGGGACUCAUGGGAGACUGCCGGGGUCAACUCGGAGGAAGGUGGGGACGACGUCAAAUCAUCAUGCCCCUUAUGUCUUGGGCUUCACGCAUGCUACAAUGGCCGGUACAAAGGGUUGCGAUACUGUGAGGUGGAGCUAAUCCCAAAAAGCCGGUCUCAGUUCGGAUUGGGGUCUGCAACUCGACCCCAUGAAGUCGGAGUCGCUAGUAAUCGCAGAUCAGCAAC